rnacentral:misc_RNA from 1 species
GGGUCACCAGGAAUCUGCAACAAGAGAUUUGGAACCCUCGUGCAAAUAAAGAGCGAGUUGCUCCCUCUGGGGUGGAGGUCCUACGCAGUAUUGAUGAGACUUUUGAAGCAUUUUUUUUGUUACCGAUACCUAUGCAUCCAGAUUUGCUUCCAGAAUUAAUGAAUGGUCUUGACAGAUGCCUGCAGAACUACAUAUUGAAGGCUAUAUCUGGCUGUGGAUCUCGAAGUGCCUUUGUUCCGACUAUGCCUGCUUUGACUAGAUGCUCAACUGGGUCAAAAUUCCGUGUGUUCAGGAAGAAAGAGAGAUCUCCUAUGGUUCCGUAUAGGAAAUCUCAAAGUGGGACCACUAAUGGAGAUGAUUCUUUCAGCAUACCUCAGUUGUGUGUCCGUAUAAAUACUUUGCAUUCCAUACGAAA